rnacentral:rRNA from 1 species
UGAGGAAUAUUGGUCAAUGGACGGAAGUCUGAACCAGCCAAGUAGCGUGCAGGAAGACGGCCCUAUGGGUUGUAAACUGCUUUUGUAUGGGGAUAAAGUCAAUCACGUGUGAUUGUUUGCAGGUACCAUACGAAUAAGGACCGGCUAAUUCCGUGCCAGCAGCCGCGGUAAUACGGAAGGUUCGGGCGUUAUCCGGAUUUAUUGGGUUUAAAGGGAGCGUAGGCCGGAGAUUAAGUGUGUUGUGAAAUGUAGACGCUCAACGUCUGACUUGCAGCGCAUACUGGUUUCCUUGAGUACGCACAACGUUGGCGGAAUUCGUCGUGUAGCGGUGAAAUGCUUAGAUAUGACGAAGAACUCCGAUUGCGAAGGCAGCUGACGGGAGCGCAACUGACGCUGAAGCUCGAAGGUGCGGGUAUCGAACAGGAUUAGAUACCCUGGUAGUCCGCACAGUAAACGAUGGAUGCCCGCUGUUGGUACCUGGUAUCAGCGGCUAAGCGAAAGCAUUAAGCAUCCCACCUGGGGAGUACGCCGGCACGGU